AUACUCUGGUUUCUCUUCACAUCGAAUAAAUCUUUCGUUUUUUACUAAAGUUUCAGUAGAGAGAAACAACCAUGAGUUUAAUAUGUUCAGCAAUAACAUAUAUAUAUAUGAC